rnacentral:misc_RNA from 1 species
GGAAGUAAAAGUCGUAACAAGAUUUCCGUAGGUGAACCUGCGGAAGGAUCAUUAAAGUUAUAGUCCCCCGGCCCUCUGGGCUGGGGUCUUCUAUACCACCCUUUGUUUAUUACACCAUUGUUGCUUUGGCAGGCCUGCCCUCGGGCUGCUGGCUCCGGCCGGCUCGCGUCUGCCAGAGGACCUAAACUCUGUUUGUAUAUGAAGUCUGAGUACUAUAUAAUAGUUAAAACUUUCAACAACGGAUCUCUUGGUUCUG